CACAUGCUUAUACGACACCCCAACAAUACAGGAUUCCUUUCAUCAUAUCAGAUAAAGACCUUACUGAAAGGAAUUUAAAAAUUAAUACACACGUACCAUCUCAAAGGCUACCCAUCCACAAUGACAUUUUCAUUCACUAUCAGACUUAUUAGAUUCAGCUCCUUUUGAACACAUGACCAAUAUGGUUAUCAAAACUGCCAUUUGCCUAGCAUUCUAUGGGUUCUUACGUCCCAAUGAAUUUACCGCUAGAAAUAUAACUGCCACUGAUUACCUGGAAACUACUGGUAUCCAGGAAACCUUAGAUCAUUAUGUUCUAUCUUUAAAUCAGUCUAAAACAAGUCCUACAAGACAUACUGUCAAAAUUACUCUGUUC